GGAGUGGCCGAUGCCUGAUUAGCUAGUUGGUGGGGUAAGGGCCUACCAAGGCGACGAUCAGUAGUUGGUCUGAGAGGACGACCAGCCACACUGGGACUGAGACACGGCCCAGACUCCUACGGGAGGCAGCAGUGGGGAAUUUUGGACAAUGGGCGAAAGCCUGAUCCAGCAAUGCCGCGUGAGUGAAGAAGGCCUUCGGGUUGUAAAGCUCUUUCAGUCGAGAAGAAAAGGUUGUGACUAAUAAUCGCAACUUAUGACGGUAUCGACAGAAGAAGCACCGGCUAACUACGUGCCAGCAGCCGCGGUAAUACGUAGGGUGCGAGCGUUAAUCGGAAUUACUGGGCGUAAAGGGUGCGCAGGCGGCUUUGUAAGUCAGAUGGGAAUUCCCCGGG
rnacentral:rRNA from 1 species